rnacentral:rRNA from 1 species
AUGAUGAAACCAACGUUAUUCUGUCUCCAUCAAUCAAGGUGCAUCAUACAGACCUGCAAUGCCCUCUGCACAGGAGCUGCACCGCGAUAUAGAGGCAACAAACUUGGGUGUAUAUUAACUGUACCUGGUAUACAAGGAGACAUGACAAAUGAUCAGGGUUCAAAGUUUCCAAACAACAUUUUUGUAGCAAAAUUCAUUGUGCCACAUAUUGUUUCCUGGCAGGGUAUGGUUAGUAACACUGGUUCCCCUAAGCUUGACUGGUACUGGCUGGAAGUUCGGUUUGUGGGGAACCAGAGCAGAAUCAGAUCUAGCAUGAAUCAUCCGACAAAGCUUGAUUUGAAAUUAUUUGUAAAUGUAUUGCCUAAUAAUGGUGAUGUAUGGACAUCGAGUGAUCGGUGGCAACUCUCUGGUAACCAUUAG